GCGACGAAACGCUAGCCCAGAUAGUCAUGCAGUGUGAAAACAUCUGUGACACGACUAGUUUGAAAAUCAUGUAGCCUGAACUCUGCAUUACUGGAACACCUAAAUUCAAUGACUAGGUUGCAUGACCUAAACAUUUGGCAGUAUGUACUUGGUAAACAGUAUUUGUUUAUAAAUAAAUUACUUGUUUAGUCUUGUUUAACCAAUUGUUUUGUCUUCCAAUUUCAGCUGAAAGUGAUAAAAGCUCUGAUAAUGCUGAUCCCUUUUCGUAAGUAAAUCUACAAAACCUAAAUCAACAAAUCAGAUGACAAAGAACAUUAGAGUAUAAGAUAACAGAUUUGGUUUGAAGAUCUUUCCAUCUUUUAAUUUAAAAAAUCACUUUUACUGUUUAAAUUUGGUCUGAGUGACAUUUCAAGCUGUUAUCUAAUUUUGCUUUUAGUAACAACUCCUUAGGUGGAAACCCUUCAAAUGGUACAGACAACCAAAAGAAUGUGAAGGAGCCCGGGAUCUGGGUUUUUCUGCUCUGUAUUGCGGUGCCACUACUUCUGCUUCUGAUGCUGGUUUUGGUAAUCUGGAGGAUUAUACAAAAACACAAUUUGUCAUCACAAAAGCCAGAUGCCUGUUCAGUGGGACAGACAGAAGGUACAUUGACAUAUGACAUGGUGGUCUUCAAGACAGCAAAGAAUGAUGAACGAAACUCGAUCAGCCAUCCUCCUGACCAAGUUGAAGUGAUCUACAGCGCUGUGAAACAUCACUAAUAACAUGAUCUUUGACACGCUGCUCGUUCAUAUUAUGAAUAUAGCAAUCUGAAGUAAUGGCAUCUUAGUCGGUUUUACACCGCCUACGAUUGAAGCCACAAAAGACGUGAGAGAUAAAAAGAGGAACCUUCUGCACAUUUUCAUACGUGUUGCAUUUGAAUGAGGGGUCAUGGUUGUGUCAUUUUUUUUUCAUAAUACUAUUGUGAAAGUGUCACCUGUUUAUUAGCACAGAUGUCUGUGGAGGUGAAUUUUGUUCCGCUUUGGUCUGUGAGAAGUAAAACUGAAACACGCCAUGACCACAUUAGAAAGGGAAGCAAUCAGUUCCAGGCAAUGUAAGACUUGUUGCACCACUUCAGAAAAGCCCAGAAAAAAGACACUCACUUGUUUGUUUUUGCAAUUAAGCAUUGUUUUUUUAUUUGUGCUUUUUAAUAUUUGGUAUUAUAAUGGUCUGUUGCAUGAAAUCUUAUUAAAGCUGACAUUUUUUUUUUUUUUGCCCUUUUCCACAUUAAUAUGCUAACUGUAUAAUAAUAUUCAUUGAAAAAAUGCUGCAAUUUGCUGUACAUUAAGGAAUAUUUUAAUGGCUUUGGAAUUUUAGUUAAUGCAUAAAAUAUACUGUGUGGAUAUGGCUUUUGUGCUAUGCAAUUGUAUUUUUUAAAAAUGUUUAUAUAUAUGACAAUGUGAAAAAAAGAGUUUUUGAAAUUGUAGGAAAUUUAUU